GACGAACGCUGGCGGCGUGCCUAAUACAUGCAAGUAGAACGCUGAAACUUGGUGCUUGCACCGAGCGGAUGAGUUGCGAACGGGUGAGUAACGCGUAGGUAACCUGCCUGGUAGCGGGGGAUAACUAUUGGAAACGAUAGCUAAUACCGCAUAAGAGUAGAUGUUGCAUGACAUUUGCUUAAAAGGUGCAAUUGCACCACUACCAGAUGGACCUGCGUUGUAUUAGCUAGUUGGUGGGGUAACGGCUCACCAAGGCGACGAUACAUAGCCGACCUGAGUGGGUGAUCGGCCACACUGGGACUGAGACACGGCCCAGACUCCUACGGGAGGCAGCAGUAGGGAAUCUUCGGCAAUGGACGGAAGUCUGACCGAGCAACGCCGCGUGAGUGAAGAAGGGUUUCGGAUCGUAAAGCUCUGUUGUAAGAGAAGAACGAGUGUGAGAGUGGAAAGUUCACACUGUGACGGUAGCUUACCAGAAAGGGACGGCUAACUACGUG
rnacentral:rRNA from 1 species